rnacentral:rRNA from 1 species
ACUAGAGUAGCACUCGCAUAUCAAUAAGCGGAGGAAAAGAAACUAACAAGGAUUCCCCUAGUAACGGCGAGUGAAGCGGGAAGAGCUCAAAUUUGAAAUCUUAAAGGGUUUCCCUUUACGAAUUGUAGUUUAAAGAAGUGUUUUCUGUUGAGGUUUUGGUAAAGGUUCUUUGGAAUAGGACAUCAUAGAGGGUGAGAAUCCCGUAUUUGACCUUUACUUUCAACUUUGUGAUACACUUUCAAAGAGUCGGAUUGUUUGGGAAUGCAGUCCAAAAUGGGUGGUAAAUUUCAUCUAAAGCUAAAUAUUGGCGAGAGACCGAUAGCGAACAAGUACCGUGAGGGAAAGAUGAAAAGAACUUUGAAAAGAGAGUUAAACAGUACGUGAAAUUGUCAAAAGGGAAGCGUUUGACACCAGUGUUGUUUUUCUGAAAAUCAAUUAAAGAACUGUUUAUGCUAAGCUGUUUAGACUUUAUCAGCUAUCUGUUUAGUUUUGAGCUUUUCUUUAAUGCACUUUUCAGUUAACAAGUCAACAUCAAUUUCUUUUGCUGUAAAAAAGCUUGAGGAAGGUGGCUUGAGAUUCGUCUUAAGUGUUUAUAGCCUCUUGCCUAUGCAGUCGGAGAGAUUGAGGUCUGCAGCGUAGAUCCUUCGGGGCUAAAUGCAUUUGUGCUAAGUUAUAGCAUUUUAUAGACAACUUGUUGACUAUGAUUUGUCUUGUAGCUUACUCGCUUAUGUUAUUUUACCUACGCUUAGGAUGUUGAUCUACAGAGCGAGAGU